rnacentral:rRNA from 1 species
GACGAACGCUGGCGGCGUGCUUAACACAUGCAAGUCGAGCGGUAAGGCUCCUUCGGGAGUACACGAGCGGCGAACGGGUGAGUAACACGUGAGCAAUCUGCCCUUCACUUCGGGAUAACUCCGGGAAACCGGUGCUAAUACCGAAUACGACCACUUCAGGCAUCUGAUGGUGGUGGAAAGUUCCGGCGGCGAAGGAUGAGCUCGCGGCCUAUCAGCUUGUUGGUGAGGUAACGGCCCACCAAGGCAACGACGGGUAGCCGGCCUGAGAGGGUGACCGGCCACACUGGGACUGAGACACGGCCCAGACUCCUACGGGAGGCUG